GGCUAUAGGCUUGGGGGGUGGGGCUGGCCAACUUCGUCCGCCGGACUCGGAAUGCCGCGAGACUUUACGAGGCCCCUCCGUGUUCCAAAAUAGGCCGCGGGCACAGCCACACCCAAAAAUAACCGCCCGAAGGCCGGGGUGCCAAGUUCGUCCAGCGGAAAAAGGCCCCAAAAAUGGGUGGGCUAUAGCCUUGGGGGGUGGGGCUGGCCAACUUCGUCCGCCGGACUCGGAUUGGCGUGAUACUUUGCAAGGCGUCUCCGUGUACCAAAAAUAGGCCGCGGGCACAGCCACGCCCAAAAAUAACCGGCCGAAGGCCGGGGCGCCAAGUUCGUCCAGCGGAAAAAGCCCACAAAAACGGGUGGGCUAUAGCCUUGGGGGGUGGGGCUGACCAACUUCGUCCGCCGGACUCGGAUUGGCGCGAAACUUUGCGAGGCGACUCCGUGUGCCAAAAAUAGGCCGCGGCAAGAGCCGUGCCCAAUAUUAACCGCGCGAAGGCCGGGUCGCCGAGUUCGUCCAGCGGAAAAAGGCCACAAAAACGGGUGGGCUAUAGCCUUGGGGGGUGGGGCUGGCCAACUUCGUCCGCCGGACUCGGAAUGCCGCGAGACUUUGUGAGGUGCCUCCGUGUGCCAAAAAUAGGCCGCGGGCACAGCCGCGCCCAAAAAUAACCGCCCGAAGGCCGGGGUGCCAAGUUCGUCCAGCGGAAAAAGGCCCCAAAAACGGGUGGGCUAUAGCCUUGGGGGGUGGGGCUGGCCAACUUCAUCCGCUGCAUUCGGAAUGGCGCGAAACUUUGUGAGGCGUCUCCAUGUGCAAAAAAUAGGCCGCGGGCACAGCCGCGUGGAAAAAUAACCGCCCGAAGGCCGGGGCGCCAAGUUCGUCCAGCGGAAAAUCCCACAAAAACGGGUGGGCUAUGGCCUUGGGGGGUGGGGCUGGCCAACUUCGUCCGCCGCACUUGGAAUGGCGCGAGACUUUGCGAGGUGCCUCCGUGUGCCAAAAAUAGGCCGCGGGCACAGCCGCGGCCAAAAAUAACCGCCCGAAGGCUGGGGCACCAAGUUCGUCCAGCGGAAAAAGGCCCCAAAAACGGGUGGGCUAUAGCCUUGGGGGGUGGGGCUGGCCAACUUCAUCUGCUGGGCUCGGAAUGGCGCGAAACAUUUCGAGGUGCCUCCGUGUGCCAAAAAUAGGCCGCAGGCACAGCCUUGCCAAAAAAUAACCCCCCGAAGGCCGGGGCGCCACGUUCGUCCAGCGGAAAAAGCCCACAAAAACGGGUGGGCGAUAGCCUUGGGGGGUGGGACUGGCCAACUUCGUCCGCCGGACUCGGAUUGGCGCGAUACUUUGCGAGGCGUCUCCGUGUACCAAAAAUAGGCCGCGGGCACAGCCGUGCCCAAAAAUAACCGCCCGAAGGCCGGGGCGCCAAGUUCGUCCUGCGGAAAAAGCCCACAAAAACGGGUGGGCUAUAGCCUUGGGGGGUGGGGCUGGCCAACUUCGUCCGCCGGACUCGGAUUGGCGCGAUACUUUGCGAGGCGACUCCGUGUGCCAAAAAUAGGCCCCGGGAAGAGCCGCGCCCAAAAAUAACCGGCCGAAGGCCGGGCCCCCAAGUUCGUCCAGCGGAAAAAGGCCACAAAAACGGGUGGGCUAUAGGCUUCGGGGGUGGGGCUGGCCAACUUCGUCCGCCGGACUCGGAAUGCCGCGAGACUUUACGAGGCGCCUCCGUGUGCCAAAAUAGGCCGCGGGCACAGCCACACCCAAAAAUAACCGCCCGAAGGCCGGGGUGCCAAGUUCGUCCAGCGGAAAAAGGCCCCAAAAACGGGUGGGCUAUAGCCUUGGGGGGUGGGGCUGGCCAACUUCGUCCGCCGGACUCGGAUUGGCGCGAAACUUUGCGAGGCGACUCCGUGUGCCAAAAAUAGGCCGCGGGAAGAGCCGCGCCCAAAAUUAACCGCGCGAAGGCCGGGUCGCCGAGUUCGUCCAGCGGAAAAAGGCCACAAAAACGGGUGGGCUAUAGGCUUGGGGGGUGGGGCUGGCCAACUUCGUCCGCCGGACUCGGAAUGCCGCGAGACUUUACGAGGCGCCUCCAUGUGCCAAAAUAGGCCGCGGGCACAGCCACACCCAAAAAUAACCGCCCGAAGGCCGGGGUGCCAAGUUCGUCCAGCGGAAAAAGGCCCCAAAAACGGGUGGGCUAUAGCCUUGGGGGGUGGGGCUGGCCAACUUCGUCCGCCGGACUCGGAUUGGCGCGAAACUUUGCGAGGCGACUCCGUGUGCCAAAAAUAGGCCGCGGGCACAGCCACGCCCAAAAAUAACCGGCCGAAGGCCGGGGUGCCAAGUUCGUCCAGCGGAAAAAGGCCCCAAAAACGGGUGGGCUAUAGCCUUGGGGGGUGGGGCUGGCCAACUUCGUCCGCCGGACUCGGAUUGGCGUGAUACUUUGCGAGGCAUCUCCGUGUACCAAAAUAGGCCGCGGGCACAGCCACGUCCAAAAAUAACCGGCCGAAGGCCGGGGCGCCAAGUUCGUCCAGCGGAAAAAGCCCAAAAAAACGGGUGGGCUAUAGCCUUGGGGGGUGGGGCUGACCAACUUCGUCCGCCGGACUCGGAUUGGCGCGAAACUUUGCGAGGCGACUCCGUGUGCCAAAAAUAGGCCGCGGGAAGAGCCGCGCCCAAAAUUAACCGCGCGAAGGCCGGGUCGCCGAGUUCGUCCAGCGGAAAAAGGCCACAAAAACGGGUGGGCUAUAGCCUUGGGGGGUGGGGCUGGCCAACUUCGUCCGCCGGACUCGGAAUGCCGCGAGACUUUGUGAGGUGCCUCCGUGUGCCAAAAAUAGGCCGCGGGCACAGCCGCGCCCAAAAAUAACUGCCCGAAGGCCGGGGUGCCAAGUUCGUCCAGCGGAAAAAGGCCCCAAAAACGGGUGGGCUAUAGCCUUGGGGGGUGGGGCUGGCCAACUUCAUCCGCUGCAUUCGGAAUGGCGCGAAACUUUGCGAGGCGCCUCCAUGUGCAAAAAAUAGGCCGCGGGCACAGCCGCGUGGAAAAAUAACCGCCCGAAGGCCGGGGCGCCAAGUUCGUCCAGCGGAAAAUCCAACAAAAACGGGUGGGCUAUGGCCUUGGGGGGUGGGGCUGGCCAACUUCGUCCGCCGCACUUGGAAUGGCGCGAGACUUUGCGAGGUGCCUCCGUGUGCCAAAAAUAGGCCGCGGGCACAGCCGCGCCCAAAAAUAACCGCCCGAAGGCUGGGGCGCCAAGUUCGUCCAGCGGAAAAAGGCCCCAAAAACGGGUGGGCUAUAGCCUUGGGGGGUGGGGCUGGCCAACUUCAUCUGCUGGGCUCGGAAUGGCGCGAAACAUUUCGAGGUGCCUCCGUGUGCCAAAAAUAGGCCGCAGGCACAGCCGUGCCAAAAAAUAACCCCCCGAAGGCCGGGGCGCCACGUUCGUCCAGCGGAAAAAGCCCACAAAAACGGGUGGGCGAUAGCCUUGGGGGGUGGGACUGGCCAACUUCGUCCGCCGGACUCGGAUUGGCGCGAUACUUUGCGAGGCGUCUCCGUGUACCAAAAAUAGGCCGCGGGCACAGCCAUGCCCAAAAAUAACCGCCCGAAGGCCGGGGCGCCAAGUUCGUCCUGCGGAAAAAGCCCACAAAAACGGGUGGGCUAUAGCCUUGGGGGGUGGGGCUGGCCAACUUCGUCCGCCGGACUCGGAUUGGCGCGAUACUUUGCGAGGCGACUCCGUGUGCCAAAAAUAGGCCACGGGAAGAGCCGCGCCAAAAAAUAACCGGCCGAAGGCCGGGCCGCCAAGUUCGUCCAGCGGAAAAAGGCCACAAAAACGGGUGGGCUAUAGGCUUCGGGGGUGGGGCUGGCCAACUUCGUCCGCCGGACUCGGAAUGCCGCGAGACUUUACGAGGCGCCUCCGUGUGCCAAAAUAGGCCGCGGGCACAGCCACACCCAAAAAUAACCGCCCGAAGGCCGGGGUGCCAAGUUCGUCCAGCGGAAAAAGGCCCCAAAAACGGGUGGGCUAUAGCCUUGGGGGGUGGGGCUGGCCAACUUCGUCCGCCGGACUCGGAUUGGCGCGAAACUUUGCGAGGCGACUCCGUGUGCCAAAAAUAGGCCGCGGGCACAGCCACGCCCAAAAAUAACCGGCCGAAGGCCGGGGUGCCAAGUUCGUCCAGCGGAAAAAGGCCCCAAAAACGGGUGGGCUAUAGCCUUGGGGGGUGGGGCUGGCCAACUUCGUCCGCCGGACUCGGAUUGGCGUGAUACUUUGCGAGGCAUCUCCGUGUCCCAAAAAUAGGCCGCGGGCACAGCCACGCGCAAAAAUAACCGGCCGAAGGCCGGGGCGCCAAGUUCGUCCAGCGGAAAAAGCCCACAAAAAAGGGUGGGCUAUAGCCUUUGGGGGUGGGGCUGACCAACUUCGUCCGCCGGACUUGGAUUGGCGCGAAACUUUGCGAGGCGACUCCGUGUGCCAAAAAUAGGCCGCGGGAAGAGCCGCGCCCAAAAUUAACCGCGCGAAGGCCGGGUCGCCGAGUUCGUCCAGCGGAAAAAGGCCACAAAAACGGGUGGGCUAUAGCCUUGGGGGGUGGGGCUGGCCAACUUCGUCCGCCGGACUCGGAAUGCCGCGAGACUUUGUGAGGUGCCUCCAUGUGCCAAAAAUAGGCCGCGGGCACAGCCGCGCCCAAAAAUAACCGCCCGAAGGCCGGGGUGCCAAGUUCGUCCAGCGGAAAAAGGCCCCAAAAACGGGUGGGCUAUAGCCUUGGGGGGUGGGGCUGGCCAACUUCAUCCGCUGCACUCGGAAUGGCGCGAAACUUUGCGAGGCGCCUCCAUGUGCAAAAAAUAGGCCGCGGGCACAGCCGCGCGGAAAAAUAACCGCCCGAAGGCCGGGGCGCCAAGUUCGUCCAGCGGAAAAUCCCACAAAAACGAGUGGGCUAUAGCCUUGGGGGGUGGGGCUGGCCAACUUCGUCCGCCGGACUCGGAAUGGCGCGAGACUUUGCGAGGUCCCUCCGUGUGCCAAAAAUAGGCCGUGGGCACAGCCGCGCCCAAAAAUAACCGCCCGAAGGCCGGGACGCCAAGUUCGUCCAGCGGAAAAAGGCCAUAAAAACGGGUGGGCUGUAGCCGUGGGGGGUGGGGCUGGCCAACUUCGUCCGCCGGACUCGGAAUGGCGAGAGACUUUGCGAGGCGCCUCCGUGUGCCAAAAAUAGGCCGCGGGAACAGCCGCGCCCAAAAAUAACCGCCCGAAGGUUGGGGCGCCAAGUUCGUCCAGCGGAAAAACGCCACAAAAACGGGUGGGCUAUAGCCUUGGGGGGUGGGGCUGGCCAACUUCGUCCGCCGGACUCGGAAUGGCGCGAGACUUUGCGAGGCCCCUCCGUGUGCCAAAAAGAGGCCGCGGGCACAGCCGCACCCAAAAAUAACCGCUCGAAGGCCGGGGCGCCAAGUUCGUCCUGCGUAAAAAGGCCACAAAAACGGGUGGGCUAUAGCCUUCGGGGGUGGGGCUGGCCAACUUCGUCCGCCGGACUCGGAAUGGCGCGAGACUUUGCGAGGCGCCUCCGUGUGCCAAAAAUAGGCUGCGGGCACAGACGCGCCCAAAAAUAACCUCCCGAAGGCUGGNNN
rnacentral:lncRNA from 1 species